rnacentral:rRNA from 1 species
UCCGCNUGGGGAGUACGACCGCAAGGUUGAAACUCAAAGGAAUUGACGGGGGCCCGCACAAGCGGUGGAGCAUGUGGUUUAAUUNGAAGCAACGCGAAGAACCUUACCAGGUCUUGACAUCCNUCUGACCGCUCUAGAGAUAGAGUUUUCNUUCGGGACAGAGGUGACAGGUGGUGCAUGGUUGUCGUCAGCUCGUGUCGUGAGAUGUUGGGUUAAGUCCCGCAACGAGCGCAACCCCCAUUGUUAGUUGCCAUCAUUGAGUUGGGCACUCUAGCGAGACUGCCGGUAAUAAACCGGAGGAAGGUGGGGAUGACGUCAAAUCAUCAUGCCCCUUAUGACCUGGGCUACACACGUGCUACAAUGGCUGGUACAACGAGUCGCAAGCCGGUGACGGCAAGCUAAUCUCUGAAAGCCAGUCUCAGUUCGGAUUGUAGGCUGCAACUCGCCUACAUGAAGUCGGAAUCGCUAGUAAUCGCGGAUCAGCACGCCGCGGUGAAUACGUUCCCGGGCCUUGUACACACC